CGCGUAGGUAACCUGCCUGGUAGCGGGGGAUAACUAUUGGAAACGAUAGCUAAUACCGCAUAAUAGCAGUUAUUGCAUGAUAACUGUUUGAAAGGUGCAAUUGCAUCACUACCAGAUGGACCUGCGUUGUAUUAGCUAGUUGGUGGGGUAACGGCUUACCAAGGCGACGAUACAUAGCCGACCUGAGAGGGUGAUCGGCCACACUGGGACUGAGACACGGCCCAG
rnacentral:rRNA from 1 species